CCCUUAGAUGUUCUGGGCCGCACGCGCGCUACACUGACGAAUGCAUCGAGCUUAUAACCUUGGCCGAAAGGUCUGGGUAAUCUCCAAAUUUCGUCGUGAUGGGGAUAGAUUAUUGCAAUUAUUAAUCUUCAACGAGGAAUGCCUAGUAAGCGCAAGUCAUCAGCUUGCGUUGAUUACGUCCCUGCCCUUUGUACACACCGCCCGUCGCUCCUACCGAUUGAAUGGUCCGGUGAAGCGUUCGGACCGUGGCCUUUGGACGGUUCGCCGUCUGUUGGCUGCGGGAAGUUCGUUAAACCUUAUCAUUUAGAGGAAGGAGAAGUCGUAACA
rnacentral:rRNA from 1 species